GACGAACGCUGGCGGCGUGCCUAAUACAUGCAAGUCGAACGCCCAGUUUAUACCGUCGCUUGCUUCCCCAUAGCCUGUGAGUUGCGAACGGGUGAUUAACCCGUAUCUAACCUUCCUGGUAGCGUGGCAUAACUAUUGUUAACGAUAUCUAAUACCCGACCAUCUUAAUUAUUCCAUGAUAAUUCAUUCAAAGGUUCAAUUGCACCACUACCAUAUGGACCUGCGUUGUAUUAGCUAGUAGGCGAGGUAACGGCUCAACUAUGCGAAGAUACAUAGCCGACCUGGGAGGGUGGUCGGCCACACUGGGAAUGAGACAAGGCCCCGACUCCUAAGGGAGGCAACAGUAGGGGAACAUCGGAAAUGGACGGAAGUCUGAACGAGCAAAGCCGGGGGAGUGAAGAAAGUUUUCGGAUCGUAAAGCUCGGUUGUAAGAGAAGAAAGGGUGUGAGAGUGGAAAGUUCACACUGUGACGGUAUCUUAACAGAAAGGGACGGCUAACUACGUG
rnacentral:rRNA from 1 species